rnacentral:misc_RNA from 1 species
GAACGCACAUUGCGCCCCUUGGUAUUCCAUGGGGCAUGCCUGUUCGAGCGUCAUUUACACCCUCAAGCUCUGCUUGGUGUUGGGCGUCUGUCCCCGCCUUCGCGCGCGGACUCGCCCCAAAGGUAUUGGCAGCGGUCUUGCCAGCUUCUCGCGCAGCACAUUGCGCUUCUCGAGGCUCCGGCGGGUCGGCGUCCAUCAAGCCCACAUCACAGUUUGACCUCGGAUCAGGUAGGGAUACCCGCUGAACUUAAG